UGUGGCUAGGAGUGAAAGGCUAAUCAAACCGGGAGAUAGCUGGUUCUCCCCGAAAUCUAUUUAGGUAGAGCCUCGGACGAAUACUUACGGGGGUAGAGCACUGUUAAGGCUAGGGGGUCAUCCCGACUUACCAACCCUUUGCAAACUCCGAAUACCGUAAAGUAAUAUCCGGGAGACACACGGCGGGUGCUAACGUCCGUCGUGAAGAGGGAAACAACCCAGACCGCCAGCUAAGGUCCCAAAGUCAUAGUUAAGUGGGAAACGAUGUGGAAAGGCCCAGACAGCCAGGAGGUUGGCUUAGAAGCAGCCAUCCUUUAAAGAAAGCGUAAUAGCUCACUGGUCGAGUCGGUCUGCGCGGAAGAUGUAACGGGGCUAAACUAUGCACCGAAGCUGCGGAUUCAUCUUAGGAUGAGUGGUAGGGGAGCGUUCUGUAAGCGGUUGAAGGUGUACCGGGAGGUAUGCUGGAGGUAUCAGAAGUGCG
rnacentral:rRNA from 1 species